rnacentral:misc_RNA from 1 species
UUGCAUCUUUAGGGAUUGAUAUUUGUUUACCUGAGGUCAACAAUGACACUAAUGAGGAUAAGGUGCCAACUUUGGUCCCUCUUUCCAUUGGAAUGGAAAUGGCUUGUUCUAAUUCUGAUGCUGCAAAUUUGUCUGGUUGCAAGCGUCUGAAAAAAUGCAAAAUGGCUAAGAAGGCGUCAACGUCAAGCAGCAAUAGAAAGAAGGUUAAGAAGCAGAACAAUUUUUCUGAUUGUGACACUGAAGAGAGUGAUCAUGUGGUUGCGCCAAAAUUGUGGCAAUUCAAAUGAUGAAAACAAUCAUACAGCUAAUUUGGUCACAUUUGAUGAAUCUGUGAUAUCAAACCUCCAAA